GGGGAAUAUUGGACAAUGGACGAAAGUCUGAUCCAGCGACGCCGCGUGGAGGAAGAAGUCCUUCGGGAUGUAAACUCAUGAAGCUAACGAAUAAGACGGAAGGGGAACCUUCCGGGAGAAGGUAAUUAGUGAAAAGCCCCGGCUAACUACGUGCCAGCAGCCGCGGUAAUACGUAGGGGGCGAGCGUUGCCCGGAAUUACUGGGCGUAAAGGGAACGUAGGUGGCUCUUAAAGUCAGGUGUGAAAAUAACGAAGCUUAACAGGUUAAUGCGCUUGAAACUAAAGGGCUUGAGGGCAAUAGAGGGAGAUGGAAUUACCUGUGUAGGGGUGAAAUCCGCAGAUAUAGGUAAGAAGGCCGGUGGCGAAGGCGACUGCCUGGGCCAACACUGACACUGAGGCACGAAAGCGUGGGGAGCAAACA
rnacentral:rRNA from 1 species